GACGAACGCUGGCGGCGUGCUUAACACAUGCAAGUCGAACGGAAAGGCCCUGCUUUUGUGGGGUGCUCGAGUGGCGAACGGGUGAGUAACACGUGAGUAACCUGCCCUUGACUUUGGGAUAACUUCAGGAAACUGGGGCUAAUACCGGAUAGGAGCUCCUGCUGCAUGGGGGGGGUUGGAAAGUUUCGGCGGUUGGGGAUGGACUCGCGGCUUAUCAGCUGGUUGGUGGGGUAGGGGCUUACCAGGGCUUUGACGGGUAGCCGGCCUGAGAGGGUGACCGGCCACCUUGGGCCUGCGAUACGGCCCAGACUCCUACGUGACGCAGCGGUGGGGAAUAUUGCACAAUGGGCCGACGCCUGAUGCAGCAACGCCGCGUGCGGGAUGCCGGCCUUCGGGUUGUAAACCGCUUUCGCCUGUGACGAAGCGUGAGUGACGGUACUGGGUAAAGAAGCACCGGCUAACUACGUG
rnacentral:rRNA from 1 species